rnacentral:rRNA from 1 species
AAUCAACGCUGGCGGCGUGCCUAACACAUGCAAGUCGAACGAGAAGGUGACUUCGGUCACUGGAUAGUGGCGUCCGGGUGAGUAACACGUAGGUAAUCUACCUUCGGGUGGGGAAGUAACGUCUCGAAGAGACGCUAAUACCGCAUAAUGCAGCGGCGCCUAAUGGUGAUUAGUUGUUAAAGACGGGGGAGUCUUCGGUACCUCGCGCCUGAAGAGGAGCCUGCGGCAGAUUAGCUAGUUGGUGAGGUAAUGGC